UCUCCGUAGGUGAACCUGCAGAGGGAUCAUUACAAGUGACCCCGGUCUUACCACCGGGAUGUUCAUAACCCUUUGUUGUCCGACUCUGUUGCCUCCGGGGCGACCCUGCCUUCGGGCGGGGGCUCCGGGUGGACACUUCAAACUCUUGCGUAACUUUGCAGUCUGAGUAAACUUAAUUAAUAAAUUAAAACUUUUAACAACGGAUCUCUUGGUUCUG
rnacentral:misc_RNA from 1 species